GGGGCUGCCUUGGUUUCGACGUGGGUCACGAAGGGGCACGGGGCAUGCCGAGGUCCGAGAUCCUCGUAAAACAGUUCGGAAAGCAAUAAACGCCAAUAACGAGCGUUACGCUCUCGCUGCUUAAUCCAGCGGGACGCUGCACCGGUUCGCCUGAGGGCCGGGUCGGGUAAAACCGACAGCAGCGCCAUAUUUCUCAGGCUGGUACUUCGCCGGAGCCGUGACGGCGGGGUCGAGAACAAGCGGCUGGACCGCGGAUGGCCUGCUGAGGGCAUGGCCGCGGCCGAGACUCUAAAGUUCAUCAGAUAAGCAUGUAGAACCGUCCUUGGACGAUUUGCGGACGCGGGUUCGACUCCCGCCAGCUCCACCA
rnacentral:tmRNA from 1 species